AGGCGUAUAGCUCAGCUGGUAGAGCGGCGGUCUCCAAAACCGCAGGUCGCGGGUUCGAAGCCUGCUGCGCCUG
rnacentral:tRNA from 1 species